UUUCUCCUCUGUAGUUGCCCCAAUAAUCAAGAUGACCAAAAAAGGGGUUAAUCCCUGUGCUUGAAGUUCUUAAGCUCUUGAGGCUUUUGAAACACUUAAAGAGGCGUUUACAUGAGCCCUGUUUUGCGCCACCCUCACCCAUCGCUGCCCUUUAUUGUCAAAGUCGACGCUUCUGAGUCAGGUGUUGGUGCAAUACCCACAACGAUCCUCUUCACACAUGUUUUUUCUCCAAGAAACUGUCUGAUGCAGAGAAAAACUGAUGUGGGGAACAAGGAAUUACUGGCCAUAGUUUGGGCAUUUAAAAGUUGGAGACACCUACUGGAAGGUUCCAGACACCCUAUCCUGGUGAUCUCAGACCACAAGAACCUCUCCUACAUAGCCAAGGACAGGUGUCUGUCUUCUCGCCAGGCUAGGUGGUCCUUAUUUGUGUCUCAGUAUACCAUAAUAUACAGACCUGAUUAUCGCAAUGUUAAGGCAAAUGCUAUAUCCAGGCAACACGAACCACUGGAGAUCAACCCUUUCCCUCCAGAACCUAUAGUCCCUUCCGCCAACAUUAUUGUAGCUACACACUUGGUUAUCCCUUCCCUCUUUUUAAAUAAGGUGAAUAGAUAUCAAAGUCAAGCACCACCUGAAACACCUACAGGUUUAUUGUUUGUACAGGGACGGGACAGAAAAAAAGUAAUGACAUUGUUUCAUAGGUCCAAAACAGUGGAACACCCAGGCAUCACAAAAAUAUAUGCUAACAUAAGUCUCCCACAAGCAAGCCACCAGGUCUCCUUAUGCCCCUCUCAGUACCCAAGAUGCCUUGGACGCACCUGUCCAUGAACUUUAUAGUGGACCUUCCCCCCUAUGAGGGUUACAUGGUCAUUCUGAUGGUGACCAAUAGGUUCUCUAAGAUGGCUCACUUUGUUCUGCUAAAGAAGCUUCCUUCUGCUGCGCAAUUAGCGGAGGUCUUCGCAAAAUAAGUAUUCCAACCUCAUGGCAUACCCGUCAAUAUUGUCACUGACUAGGGCCCCCAGUUCAUCUCACAUUUCUGGAGGGUUUUCUGUACUGAAAUGGGUAUAUACCUCUGUGUCCCGUCCAUGAAGUUGGCACCGAAAUAUAUUGGGCUUUAUCAAGUCUUGCACAGGGUUAAUCCUGUCUCUUACACUCUGGACUUGCCUGUCCUUCCCAAUAUGUCCCUUUCACACGUCCCUUCUGAAGUCCCUCCUAUGUAACCGGUAUUCAAGGCCUGUUAGACGCCCCGGCCCUGUCGGUGCCAACUCCGGAGGAGCGUCCCUGGGUAUCUGCCUCUGAUUUGAACACCCUUCAUCUUGUUAGGCCCAUCCAUGCUCAUUUUCCCUUGAAGCCUUUGGCUUCCCGCCAUCCUGGCAGUCGUCGUCGGGGGGGGCUUCUAAAAAAGACUGGACAUACCCCAUUUGCAAUACCUUGGGUUGUCUACCAUUGCAAAUGGUAUGCAAUCAGGGGGGUAAUUUUCAUUCCUGGGCUACCAUAUGGUCUCAAAGACAAUGUAACCAAUGUUGCGAAUUUCAAUGUAAAAAAAAUGAAAUGCAAGCCUUAUAUUUGGCUCUGUAACUUUUGUAAACACCAUAAAACCUGUACAUGAGGGGUACUGUGCUGAACACUUUGCUGAACACAAAUAUUAGUGUUUCAAAACAAUAAAACAUAUCACAACAAUA